rnacentral:rRNA from 1 species
CCUAGUAACUGCGAGUGAAGCGGGAAAAGCUCAAAUUUAAAAUCUGGCGGUCUUUGGCUGUCCGAGUUGUAAUUUAGAGAAGUGCCUUCCGCGCCAGACCAUGCAAAAGUCUCCUGGAAUGGAGCGUCAUAGAGGGUGAGAAUCCCGUCUUUGGCAUGGAUGCUUGGUGCUUCUGUGAUGCGCUCUCGAAGAGUCGAGUUGUUUGGGAAUGCAGCUCAAAAUGGGUGGUGAACUCCAUCUAAAGCUAAAUAUUGGCGAGAGACCGAUAGCGAACAAGUACCGUGAGGGAAAGAUGAAAAGCACUUUGGAAAGAGAGUGAAACAGUACGUGAAAUUGUUGAAAGGGAAACGCUUGAAGUCAGUCGCGUCGACCAAGACUCAGCCUUGCCUCGGCUUGGUGUUCUUCUUGGCUGACGGGCCAGCAUCAAUUUCUUCCCUCGGAUAAUGGCGAGAGAAAGGUGGCACCCUUACGGGUGUGUUAUAGUCUCUUGUCGCAUGCGAGGGAUGGGAUUGAGGAACUCAGCACGCGCCUUUAGGUGUCGGGGCUCCGGCCCACGUUACGUGCUUAGGAUGUUGGCGUAAUGGCUUUAAACGACCCGUCCUGAAACACGGACCAAGGAGUCUAACAUGCCCGCGAGUGUUCGGGUGGAAAACCCGUGCGCGUA